rnacentral:rRNA from 1 species
AUACGGAGGGUGCAAGCGUUACUCGGAAUUACUGGGCGUAAAGCGUGCGUAGGUGGUUCGUUAAGUCUGUCGUGAAAGCCCCGGGCUCAACCUGGGAAUGGCGAUGGAUACUGACGGGCUAGAGUGCGGUAGAGGAGAGUGGAAUUCCCGGUGCAGCAGUGAAAUGCGUAGAGAUCGGGAGGAACAUCAGUUGCGAAGGCGGCUCUCUGGACCAGCACUGACACUGAGGCACGAAAGCGUGGGGAGC